rnacentral:rRNA from 1 species
GGCGAACGGGUGAGUAACGCGUAGGAAACCUGCCUUCGAGAUGGGGAUAACACUCCUAACGGGGUGCUAAUACCGAAUGACACUGCGAAGUCGCAUGGCUUUGCAGUCAAAGGUGGCCUCUGCUCGCAAGCUACCACUUGAAGAUGGUCCUGCGUCCCAUUAGCUAGUUGGUGGGGUAACGGCUCACCAAGGCUACGAUGGGUAGCCGAUCUGAGAGGAUGACCGGCCACACUGGGACUGAGAUACGGCCCAGACUCCUACGGGAGGCAGCAGUCGAGAGGCUUCGGCAAUGGGGGAAACCCUGACCGAGCGACGCCGCGUGGAGGAUGAAGGCCUUUGGGUUGUAAACUCCUGUCAUGUGGGAAGAAAUGCCACCGUUCGAAUAGGGCGGUGGUUUGACGGUACCACAAGAGGAAGCUCCGGCUAACUCCG